AGAGUGUUAUGAUGUUGGAAGUUUAUACUUUCCGAGUCUAGCUCGUCGCUACCCUCUGAUGAGAGUCAUCAGGGG
rfam:Enterococcus columbae DSM 7374 = ATCC 51263 genomic scaffold acyDG-supercont2.1, whole genome shotgun sequence.